rnacentral:rRNA from 1 species
UACGUAGGUGGCAAGCGUUGUCCGGAUUUACUGGGCGUAAAGCGUAUGCAGGCGGACUGUUAAGUAGGAAGUGAAAGGUUGGAGCUCAACUCCAACACUGCUCCCUAUACUGGCAGUCUUGAGUGGCGGAGAGGAAAGCGGAACGACACGUGUAGCGGUGAAAUGCGUUGAUAUGUGUCGGAACACCAAUGGCGAAAGCAGCUUUCUGGACGCAAACUGACGCUCAGAUACGAAAGCUAAGGUAGCAAACAGG